UACGGCCGUACAACGUUGUAACACCGGUUCCCGUACGAUCUUCGAAGUUAAGCAACGUCAAGCCUGGUCAGUACCUAGAGAGGUGACCAUUUGGUAAUACCAGGUGAU